UGCAAGUCGAACGAACCUUCGGGUUAGUGGCGGACGGGUGAGUAACGCGUGAGAAUCUGCCCUCAGGAGGGGGGUAACAGUUGGAAACGACUGCUAAUACCCCAUAUGCCGAGAGGUGAAACUAAUUUCGCCUGGGGAUGAGCUCGCGUCUGAUUAGCUUGUUGGUGGGGUAAUGGCCUACCAAGGCUUUGAUCAGUAGCUGGUCUGAGAGGACGAUCAGCCACACUGGGACUGAGACACGGCCCACACUCCUACGGGAGGCAGCAGUGGGGAAUUUUCCGCAAUGGGCGAAAGCCUGACGGAGCAACGCCGCGUGAGGGAUGAAGGCCUUUGGGCUGUAAACCUCUUUUCUCAAGGAAAAAGAUCUGACGGUACUUGAGGAAUAAGCCACGGCUAAUUCCGUGCCAGCAGCCGCGGUAAUACGGGAGUGGCAAGCGUUAUCCGGAAUUAUUGGGCGUAAAGCGUCCGCAGGCGGCCGUUUAAGUCUGUUGUUAAAUUGUGGAGCUCAACUCCAUCACGGCAAUGGAAACUGUUCGGCUUGAGUAUGGUAGGGGCAGAGGGAAUUUCCGGUGUAGCGGUGAUAUGCGUAGAUAUCGGGAAGAACACCAGUGGCGAAAGCGCUCUGCUGGGCCAUUACUGACGCUCAUGGACGAAAGCCAGGGGAGCGAAAUGGAUUAGAUACCCAUGUAGUCCUGGCCGUAAACGAUGAACACUAGAUGUUGGGGGAAUCGACCCCCUCAGUGUCGUAGCUAACGCGUUAAGUGUUCCGCCUGUGGAGUACGCACGCAAGUGUGAAACUCAAAGGAAUUGACGGGG
rnacentral:rRNA from 1 species